GCAGCCCAACUUGGAUGGAGUUGGGGUCCUGGCCCCCACAGCCGGCAGCUGAGAGCCCAGCGCCCCCGCCGCCGCCGCUCCGACCCGCUCUCCGCUGCUCUCCUCUCCCGCGAAGGGAAAAGUGGGCGCGGGCGGCGGCUUCCCCCGGGGCUGAGCGCGCUCCUCGCGGGCGCGGGGUUCCGGGGCAUCCGCGCCCCGGGCGCCUGCGGGCGCGGCUCCUGUGCUGUCCCGAGGUCCCAGGGCCCCGCCCUGGGGACGCCAGCACCUGAUGCCGCAAGGCCCGGCCGCUGCCACUCCCUCCCCUCCCGGAGCGCCUCAGGCGCAGAGCGGGGAGCGGGAGCCGAGCUGGAGUGGAAACCCGGGGUACUUUGAGCAGCGGGACCCUGGAACUCCUCAGCAAGAGUAACAAAGCUACAGGCUUCGGAGCUGGAGGAGCUGAGUUGACGAUCAGCACCUUGGAGGGGACAAGAACUCCGCACACAAAGGCGGCUCCACUUGGCUCACCGCCACAGCGUCUUGAGUGGAGAAGUGGCGGUGAGGCGCGAUCAAAGAGAUAUCUCUGAGCACCUAAGAUGUUGCAGACGCUGAUGAAGAGGUGUGUGUGACAUGGUAUAAAAAGUGAGGAACAUUCGUACGAGGCUGUAGAAGAUGCAGGUCUCUGAUGGCAGAACUGCUAGGGAGGGUGAUGACCUGUUUGAUUCCUUUCAUGACAUCCACCCACUCCCCUGUAACAUCACCAUCGUGUCAUCUCCAGCCUGCUCUCCAGGAAGAGCGAAUGUGUGGAAGCUGGCGCCUGAGUUCUCCCUGCUGCCUGCUGACCCUAGAGAGGUGGAUAGACAUGGACACUCACUGAACAUCAGGCUACUGACACGUGUUAUCAGGCCUUGCUUGAAUGAAAUCACCCAUAUCAUGGAAAUCAGAAUACUGACUACACUGUUAAUGCAGUGUUCAUGCCACAGCAGUUCUCUGAAGAAAAAGAAAAUGUGUCUAACGCUCCCAGUUUUAUUUCAUCUGAAUUUUUUCUUUCUCUCUCUCCUAACCCUGAUAUCUCUUUGUGGCAGAGCAGCAACAAAAACAACAAUGCCAACAACUCCAGUCUGAGGCCAAACUGCCAGAAACCAAGGAUGAAAAAGACUACCCCUCCUCCCUAGUCUUCUUCUGUGCCCCUGGGCUUUCCUUGGCAGGAAUGCUUUCCAUAUUUCUCAGGAGCCAUGGAGCUGUGAGUACAGUUUUUCCUGGAAACAGAGGCAGAAGGUUCCUGCUUCCCUUAUGGCAGGCUCACAUUCUCACUCAGAGAAUCAAGCAUUUCUUCCCCUUCCUGUUUCAGCAGUUCCCACCCCCAGCCUCAAACCAAAUCAAGAUAGGUAGGGCUGCUACCUGGAGGAGUCUCUCUGAGCCCCAUGAGAGAGUUCAGAGUGCCUCUCAGACAACAUAACUUUGGAUUGGACUAUGGCUUCAGCUGUGACUCUUUCUCCUGGAAAACUAUAUGUUGGAUGACACAAGAAGAUGCUCUCUGCAGAGUAUAAUCCAGUCACAAAGACCAAAGAUUGAGGGGAAGUUGCCAUUUUUCCUUGCCGUUUACCCGCCAAGAGUCUCUCUCUCUGGGGCGCCUGGGUGGUGCAGUCGUUAAGCGUCUGCCUUCGGCUCAGGGCGUGAUCCCGGCGUUAUGGGAUCAAGCCCCACAU